ACUCACCGCACUGUGGCACCUUCACUCUCUCAAUCAACCACUCAAUCCCCGCAAAAAAAAUCAACCACUCAAAAGAAAAACAUUCAGUCUCUCAAUCUCGAGCCUUCUCCUGUCACCGCUGUCUCCCUUCCAUCGACGGCGCCGCCGCAUACUCCUAUCCCCUCCACUGCGUCGGCCGGCCCCUCCUCUCCUCGCCAUCUCUCCUCCAUGUUGCGCGCCGAGCCCGUCAUCCCUUCCCAUGUUGUACUCGGCCGCAUCUUCCUGGCUCGAUUGGUUCGAUCUGCUGCCAUCCACUACCCGUCAGGUUAUUCCGGCGGUGCGGCGGCGGCGAAGCUUGGCGCGACGGUGGAGCCUGCCUGUCUGGCGAUGGGGUGGGAGUCGGAUAGGCGCGCGGCGGUGAUUGUGCAGUCACGGAGACAGCUCUGCAGUCCCGAUGGUGUCGCUGCUGCGGUGGUUCCAUUCCGGCGGCACCGUCGGCCCGUUCAAAACAGGGCUCGUCCAUGGGGUGGCCCGCCCAUCAAGACAGAGGCAUGGCCGGACAUCGUUAUCGCUCAAAUAUCAGUGCGUUUCUCGCAAUGGAUUACUGGGAAGAUGAAGCAAUGGCCCUCUUCCCUCUCCGUUAAUACAGUUUUACAGGCUAAUCAGCUGGCACCUUAGAAAGGUACACAGCCAUGUACGUAUCCGUGAGUCUGAAGCCUUUCAGGUGUACAGGGUGUACACGUUCUGAAUUUCACAAAGCUACUACUAAUUGCUGUUGGUAAAAACAAACUGGGCUAUGCAUGUCACUCAGCGAGUUUCCUCUCGUACAUAGAAACAUCACAACUACUGACAAAUGCAUUGUAUUGUUAUUCUAAGGGUGUUUUGGUGAAAUAUUUUAAUCUUGGCUCAUAGAAAUCCUCUACUGCUUAAGUUAAUCCACUACAUCCAUAUCUGAUAUUGACCAACUACAUCCUGAUCUAAUACAGGCAAAAUCAGGGACCAAAGGAUCAUCUCUUACCAAUGCAUAACCUGUAGAACUCUAUUACUACAUAAGCUGAUCAACUACAUCCUUGUGUAAUACAAGAUAAUAAAUCAUAAAUCAGUGGACCAUAUGUUCCCGAUGCGAAUGCCUCCUUUUGCGUUGUCCGUUUGAUCAUUAGUAUUUAUUUCCAUCAUUAUGCUAGCAAUCGUGUUUUGGAAUUGCCAACUGCAGUACUGCUCCGCCUACAUCGUAAUAUACAAUGCCUCGCCUAUAAAGUUUGAAGAAUCUUAAAAUAUUUGUUAUACUAUAUUACACUACAUGAUAGAUCUGCUGCAGAGAGGUUAUCACUCUUCUACGCUGAGCAUGCCGACAGGAGCUUCUUCAACAGUCCGGUGAAGCACACCAUUUUGGAUCAACUCCUCACAUAGACCCGCAUUGAGGGAGGAGGACGGAGAGGCCGACAACAAGGAGCGGGUGUGGGUGUUCAUCCUCGCUGCUGACCACAAGUGCUGCGAGAAAUUUUGGGAAGAAUUCUAUGCCUCCACUGUGGUACGUUUCUGCCUUUGGCUGGAUGUCUUCUUCUUCUGUUAAGGCCACAGUAGGUGCGGGCGGGUGUGGCUAUGAAGAAGUUCCUGGAGGCAGCGGACUGGAAAUCGGGUGUGAGCGGCCGAAGAGGCUGGGACCGGCGAGUGGCAGCAGCUGGCUGGAGGCGGCGGGAGGAGCCCGGUAGAAGAAAGCAGGUAAGUAGCGGCGGCCUACAUGUCUAUGGUUUGGUACAUGCCGCCAUCUAAACACUUACAAUGAACAUCAAUGUUUCCGAGCUUUGCUUGUUGAGCCUGUCGUUGCCAUGUAAGCCAGCCACCAAGUGUUCAGAAAAUAUCUGAAGUUAUAUUCUACAGUAGAAUCUAAUCACCUUAUUGUCGUUGUUUUCUGUGUCAGUCAUUAUUUGGAUAACACCCUAUUGUAGAAUCUCGGUGAUGUUAGGACAUUGCAAGCAUUAUUUGAACUUGAAGCGCUUCUUCUUACAAGUAUGAUCAUUUUAUAAUCGUUUCUUUGGUUGUGGUGGAUUAUUUAGUGAACAUAAUUCCUUUUUUAGGUCAUUGCAUGAAAAAUAAGAAUACUUAUAUCACUGAAUUUCUGGUGGUUUUCUUUGGAAGUUAGUUCAGUUAGGCGCUUCUAACUGCUUAAGCUCAAUUUAUCUCCAGUUGCCCUUAAUUACCAGAUGUUAAAUAUUUUCUUCCAUGAAACUGCUCUUCAGUUUGAUAUAAUCUGCAGGAGCAAUCCAGGAGCAUGGUGUGUCACCUAUGUCCUAAUCAAGUGUGUGAUCUCCUAGUGCCUACUGAAUUAUAACGAGUUUUGAACUUUGUUGACUUAUUUUCCUUAUCCUGCUUGUUAGGUUUUCAUGUCAUUCUGCACGCUGCUCAUAAUGUGCAUUUCUUGUUAUUUGCUAGUGGUUGUACUGUACAAAGCUUGGUCUGUUAUUGAAACACAUAAGUGCGGCAGCAAAUUCAUAGUGUACAUUUGUUGUUAUUUGCUAAUGGUUGUACUAAACAAAGCAUGGUCGAAACACAUCCUUUAUGUUAUGUCCAAAAUUAGCUUAUUAGUCCUUUUUAGUGGGGCAAACUUAUAUAUGUCAAUUUUUCCUCCAGCUGUGUAUUACAUAUUGUGAUAAUUGUACAAAGGCUGCCAUAAAAGAUACGCAUGUCUUUAGAUCAGCAAUAUGCCAGGCAAAUAAUGGUCGAAACACAUACCUUAAUUUCUGCUCUGUGUUCAGGCCCUAGCAGAGCUUGAACCUUAUUCAGCAAAUAAUGGUCACUGAGUCUUGGUCGUCACUGGACCACAAUUCUUGACAUACUUCCAUGGACGCUGGAAGUAACAUGAGCUACAGAUAUGCAUUUCAAUGGGGGGUUACUUCUUUCCUCAACAAGUUACAGUACAGUAGGAGAGGGCAAUGAUGCUGACCUGUGACUUGACCUUCCAUGGAAAACUCUGGCUUGACGUGAGGGGGUCGUCGCUUCCAGAGAUCGUCGCCGGUCCGGUAGUCGCUUUAAGAGAUCGUCUCUCGGUCUGGUCGUCGCUUCCAGAGAUCGUCGCCCGGCCUGGUCGUCACUUCCAGGGAUGGGGAUGCCUUCACCAAAUGAGGCAAAAUCUGGCUCGCAGAUAUGUGUCGUCCAUUGGGAAGGUUUCGGUUGUAUACAUGGAAAGAAUCCAACUUGAUAUGUGGAAGGUCUAGGCUGUAUACACGGAAAGACUACAACGUGAUCAUGAAUUGUGAUAUGAUUUCUGCUAUACAUGGAAUACAUGUUAUGUACAAAAGGAAAAGGAGUCCGUUGUUAUGUAAAGGAAAAGAAUGUAAUUUAUGGACUUCCCAAUUAGGACUAGAAGAUUAUGGAAGCUAUUAUUUGGAAAGGA